rnacentral:rRNA from 2 species
GGUUAAGCGACUAAGCGUACACGGUGGAUGCCCUGGCAGUCAGAGGCGAUGAAGGACGUGCUAAUCUGCGAUAAGCGUCGGUAAGGUGAUAUGAACCGUUAUAACCGGCGAUUUCCGAAUGGGGAAACCCAGUGUGUUUCGA